UCCGAAACAAAAGAUCCACUUCGUGUGCAGCCUCACCUGAAGAAAUGUUUUGAAGGGAUCGCCAAGUUAGACUUUACUCGGAAUAAAGAAAUAACGGCUAUGGUGUCUGCUGAGGACGAAGUUGUUCAUUUCUCCAACAAUGUCAUUCCAGCAAAAGCAGGAGGCCUUGUCGAAAAAUGGCUUUCCGAG